rnacentral:rRNA from 1 species
AUUGAACGCUGGCGGCAUGCUUUACACAUGCAAGUCGAACGGUAACAGGCCUUCGGGUGUUGACGAGUGGCGAACGGGUGAGUAAUGCAUCGGAACGUGCCCAGAGGUGGGGGAUAACGCAGCGAAAGCUGUGCUAAUACCGCAUGUGAUCUGAGGAUGAAAGCGGGGGACCAGGCAGCAAUGUUUGGCCUCGCGCCUUUGGAGCGGCCGAUGUCAGAUUAGGUAGUUGGUGGGGUAAAGGCCUACCAAGCCGACGAUCUGUAGCUGGUCUGAGAGGACGACCAGCCACACUGGGACUGAGACACGGCCCAGACUCCUACGGGAGGCAGCAGUGGGGAAUUUUGGACAAUGGGCGCAAGCCUGAUCCAGCAAUGCCGCGUGCGGGAAGAAGGCCUUCGGGUUGUAAACCGCUUUUGUACGGAACGAAAAGGCUCUGGCUAAUACCUGGGGCUGAUGACGGUACCGUAAGAAUAAGCACCGGCUAACUACGUG